rnacentral:ncRNA from 1 species
UUAGGUAGAGGUGCGAUAGAGAUAAGUAUUCUAUACCAAGAACGAUAUCGGGUUCAAUAGUAAGUAUGGAAGAAAGGCAAUAUCGCCGAAAUGCUAAGGCUAUCGAUAAAGUUUUAGUGUUGGGUGCAAACUUAAUAGGUUUGUAACUGUCAUCAUGAGUAUGGUGGAGAGCUAUCGG